AGAGUUUGAUCAUGGCUCAGGAUGAACGCUAGCUACAGGCUUAACACAUGCAAGUCGAGGGGAAACGACAUCGAAAGCUUGCUUUUGAUGGGCGUCGACCGGCGCACGGGUGAGUAACGCGUAUCCAACCUGCCCACCACUUGGGGAUAACCUUGCGAAAGUAAGACUAAUACCCAAUGACGUCUCUAGAAGACAUCUGAAAGAGAUUAAAGAUUUAUCGGUGAUGGAUGGGGAUGCGUCUGAUUAGCUUGUUGGCGGGGUAACGGCCACCAAGGCGACGAUCAGUAGGGGUUCUGGAGAGGUAGGUCCCCCANAUUGGAACUGAGACACGGUCCAAACUCCUACGGGAGGCA
rnacentral:rRNA from 1 species